rnacentral:rRNA from 1 species
AACGAACGCUGGCGGCAUGCCUAACACAUGCAAGUCGAACGAGACCUUCGGGUCUAGUGGCGCACGGGUGCGUAACGCGUGGGAACCUGCCCUUAGGUUCGGAAUAACUCCCCGAAAGGGGUGCUAAUACCGGAUAAUGUCUUCGGACAAAGGUUUUAUGGCCUUUGGAUGGGCCCGCGUUGGAUUAGCUAGUUGGUAGGGUAAAAGCCUACCAAGGCGACGAUCCAUAGCUGGUCUGAGAGGAUGAUCAGCCACACUGGGACUGAGACACGGCCCAGACUCCUACGGGAGGCAGCAGUGGGGAAUAUUGGACAAUGGGCGAAAGCCUGAUCCAGCAAUGCCGCGUGAGUGAUGAAGGCCUUAGGGUUGUAAAGCUCUUUUACCCGGGAUGAUAAUGACAGUACCGGGAGAAUAAGCUCCGGCUAACUCCGUG